rnacentral:rRNA from 1 species
AAACCAACAGGGAUUGCCUUAGUAGCGGCGAGUGAAGCGGCAAAAGCUCAAAUUUGAAAUCUGGCACUUUCAGUGUCCGAGUUGUAAUUUGAAGAAGGUAUCUUUGGGUCUGGCUCUUGUCUAUGUUUCUUGGAACAGAACGUCACAGAGGGUGAGAAUCCCGUGCGAUGAGAUGUCCCAGACCUAUGUAAAGUUCCUUCGAAGAGUCGAGUUGUUUGGGAAUGCAGCUCUAAGUGGGUGGUAAAUUCCAUCUAAAGCUAAAUAUUGGCGAGAGACCGAUAGCGAACAAGUACAGUGAUGGAAAGAUGAAAAGAACUUUGAAAAGAGAGUGAAAAAGUACGUGAAAUUGUUGAAAGGGAAGGGCUUGAGAUCAGACUUGGUAUUUUGUAUGUUACUCUCUCGGGGGUGGCCUCUACAGUUUACCGGGCCAGCAUCAGUUUGGGCGGUAGGACAAUUGCAAAGAAAUGUGGCACUGCCUCGGUAGUGUGUUAUAGUCUUUGUCGAUACUGCC